rnacentral:tRNA from 1 species
GGAGAGGUGCCGGAGUGGUUGAACGGGGCGGUCUCGAAAACCGUUAUGGCUCUCGUGGUCAUCGUGGGUUCGAAUCCCACCCUCUCCG